rnacentral:rRNA from 1 species
CGCUGGCGGCGUGCCUAAUACAUGCAAGUCGAACGGUCUUUCUAUGGAAGCUUGCUUCCACUGAGAAGAUAGUGGCGAACGGGUGAGUAACACGUGGGUAACCUGCCCAUAAGAGGGGGGAUAACAUCCGGAAACGGGUGCUAAUACCGCAUAGUUUUCUUGAUCGCAUGAUCGGGAAAGGAAAGACGGCCUUUGUGCUGUCGCUUAUGGAUGGACCCGCGGCGUAUUAGUUAGUUGGUGAGGUAACGGCUCACCAAGACGAUGAUACGUAGCCGACCUGAGAGGGUGAUCGGCCACAUUGGGACUGAGACACGGCCCAAACUCCUACGGGAGGCAGCAGUAGGGAAUCUUCCGCAAUGGACGAAAGUCUGACGGAGCAACGCCGCGUGAGUGAAGAAAGGUUUUCGGAUCGUAAAACUCUGUUGUCAGAGAAGAACAAGUUGGAGAGUAACUGCUCCAGCCUUGACGGUAUCUGACCAGAAAGCCACGGCUAACUACGUGCCAGCCGCCGC